rnacentral:rRNA from 1 species
CCUACGGGGGGCAGCAGUGAGGAAUAUUGCGCAAUGGAGGAAACUCUGACGCAGCGACGCCGCGUGAAGGAUGAAGGCCCUCUGGGUUGUAAACUUCUGUAGAGAGGGAAGAAUUUCUCGCUUCGCGAGAUUGACGGUACCUCUAAAGUAAGGGUCGGCUAACUACGUGCCAGCAGCCGCGGUAAUACGUAGGACCCAAGCGUUGUCCGGAUUUACUGGGUGUAAAGGGAGCGCAGGCGGNUUUAUAAGUCGAUUGUGAAAUCUUGCGGCUCAACCGCAAAACAGCAGUCGAUACUGUUAAUCUUGAGUGUGGAAGAGAGUGGCGGAAUUCAUGGUGUAGCAGUGAAAUGCGUAGAUAUCAUGAAGAACACCGGUUGCGAAGGCGGCCACUUAGUCCAUUACUGACGCUCAUGCUCGAAAGCGUGGGGAUCAAACAGGAUUAGAUACCCUGGUANUC